rnacentral:rRNA from 1 species
GUAAGGAAUAUUGGACAAUGGACGCAAGUCUGAUCCAGCCAUGCCGCGUGAAGGAUUAAGGUCCUCUGGAUUGUAAACUUCUUUUAUAAGGGACGAAAAAAGGCUUUUCUAAGUCGUCUGACGGUACCUUAUGAAUAAGCACCGGCUAACUCCGUGCCAGCAGCCGCGGUGAUACGGAGGGUGCAAGCGUUAUCCGGAUUCACUGGGUUUAAAGGGUGCGUAGGCGGGCAGGUAAGUCAGUGGUGAAAUCCUAGAGCUUAACUCUAGAACUGCCAUUGAUACUAUCUGUCUUGAAUAUUGUGGAGGUAAGCGGAAUAUGUCAUGUAGCGGUGAAAUGCUUAGAUAUGACAUAGAACACCUAUUGCGAAGGCAGCUUACUACGCAUAUAUUGACGCUGAGGCACGAAAGCGUGGGGAUCAAACAGGAUUAGAAACCCGGGUAGUCC